rnacentral:rRNA from 1 species
GACGAACGCUGGCGGCGUGCCUAAUACAUGCAAGUCGAACGCAGUGGGUACGGGUGAGUAACACGUGGGUAACCUCCCAUCAGAGGGGAUAACACUUGGAAAUAGGUGCUAAACCGAUACUGAUGGAUGGCCCCGCGGUGCAUUAGCUAGUUGGUGAGGUACCGGCUCACCAAGGCCACGAUGCAGAGCCGACCGGAGAGAGUGAUCGGCCACACUGGGACAGAGACACUGCCCAGACUCCUAGGGGAGGCAGCAGUAAAGAAUCUUCGGAAAUGGACGAAAGUCUGAGCGAGCAACGCCGCGUGAGUGAAGAAGGUUUUCGGGGCGUAAAGCUCUAUUGUUAGAGAAGCGGUAGCUAACCAAGAAGCCACGGCUAACUACGUGCCAGCAGCCGCGGUAAUUC